GUGAAGCCAGAGGUGGAGGGGUUCGGCCGGCGGUGAGAGGCUUCGGGCGGAGGUGAAGGGGCUUCGGGCCGGAGGUGAAGGGCUUCGACCGGAGAGAAGGAGCGUCGGGAGGAGGCAGAGCUGGCGGUGAAGGGGUUUCAGGGAAGGGUUUCGGGCCGGAGGUAAAGUCGGAGGUGGAGGGGUUCGGCUGGCGGUGAGAGACUUCGGGCGGAGGUGACGGGGCUUCGGGUCGGAGGUGAAGGGGCUUCGGGUUGGAGGUAAAAGGCUUUGACCGGAGAGAAGGGGCGUCGGGAGGAGGCAGAGCUGGCGGUGAAGGGGCUUCAGGGAAGGGCUUCGGGCUGGAGGUAAAGCCGGAGGUGGAGGGGUUCGGCUAGCGGUGAGAGGCUUCGGGUGGAGGUGAAGGGGCUUCGGGCCAGAGGUGAAGGGGCUUCGGGCCGGAGGUGAAGAGCUUCGACCGGAGAGAAGGGGCGUCGAGAGGAGGCAGAGCUGGUAGUGAAGGGGCUUCAGGGAAGGGCUUUGGGUCGGAGGUGAAGGGCUUCGGCCGGAGUGGAGAGGCUUCGGGAGGAGGUAGAUCCGGAGGCAAAGGGGCUUUGGGGAAGGGCUUCGGGCCAAAGGUAAAGGUUCGGCCGGAGUGGAGGGGUGUCGGAAGGAGGCAGAUUCGGCGGUGGAGGGGCUUCGAAGAAGGGCUUCGGGCCGGAUGUGAAGGGCUUCGGCCGGAGUGGAGGGGCGUCGGGAGGAGACAGAUCUGGCGGUGAAGGCUUCGACCGGAGUGGAGGGGCUUGGGGAGAAGGCAGAUCCGGAGGUGAAGGCUUCAGGAUAAGAAAGGGGAAGAAUGGGAACGGGGAGAAAGGGAAAAGCAUGAGGGCGUUGGGAGGCGUGCGGGGCUAAAGUGGGGAGGGGAGGUGGGAUUAGUAAA
rnacentral:lncRNA from 1 species